AUUCUGGCUGAUCCCGCCAGAGAGCAUCGCUAUCCGAGUUCUACUAAGCCAUGCGAGCCGAUCGGGUAAGACCCGAGGCGAAUUGCUCCGUAAUACAUAGUCAACCUUCCCUUAGCUGGUGGACAAACUCGCAAACGUGAGGCUAAUCCACCAUAGUUCUAGUUAACUGGAAUGUGGCUAGAACGAAAGCUUUUGCGGCCAAGGAUGGGACUGUGGCCGAUCAGGCUGUUGAUGGUGUAACGAACUAUCAAACCAGUUACCGGUACGGGCCAUGGAAGUGGAAGCCCGGAGAUGGAUUCUGAGACAUGAAUCCAGGUACUACGGUACGCAGCAGGUAAGAAAACUUUUCAAUGCUUUAACGAGCGAAAAGGGAACUUGGAGUGUUUCUGUUUUACAGAAACUUUUACCCUCUGAAAACAGGAGGGAGAAUAAGAGCCGGGCAAUACGGGUGCCAGCCGCCAUGUUAUUUAAAUGGUAGCACGGUAAACGGUAAUACCCGAGGCUCGAGUGAUGCUCACUAUUAUUGGGUCUAAAGCGUCCGUAGCCGGCUUGAAAAGUUCCUUGUGAAAUCUGGCAGCAAACUGUCAGGCUUGCGGGGAAUACUUUCAGGCUUGAGAGAGGGAGAGGGUAGAGGUACUUCUAGUGUAGGGGUUAAAUCCUUUAAUCCUAGAGGGACCACCUGUGGCGUGAGAGAUUUCUUCACACAUAAGGCGUCUGCCUGGAACUCGUCUGACGGUGAGGGACGAAGGCUAGGGGAGCGAUCGGGAUUAGAUAUGGUGAUGUGUUAUUGAUUUCAUUUGCCAAAGUUAGCACCUCACUACUAAACACCCCGGUAGUCCUAGCAGUAAACAAUGCCCACUUGGUGUUGCAAUCUUCUUGGGAGAUUGCAGUGCCGGAGCGUAGGUGUUAAGUGGGCCACCUGGGGAGUAUAGUCGCAAGGCCGAAACUUAAGGGAAUUGGCGGGGGAGCACACAAGCGGUGGAGGCUGCGGUUCAAUUGGAUUCAACGCCGGGAAAGAUGGAAUGUUCUAUCAAAUUGUCCAGGGGCGACGGCAGUAUGAGGGUCAGGCUGAAGGUCUUACCAGACAAGCCGAGAGCUGCUGCAUGGCCAUCGUCAGCUCGUAUCGUGAGACGUGCCGUUAAGUCGGUUAACGAGCGAGAUCCACAUCACAUGUUGCUAAUCUUCUGUCCGCAGGAGAUGCACUCAUGCGAGACCGCUGGUGAUAAACCAGAGGAAGGAGUGGGCGACGGUAGGUCUGUAUGGCGCGAACCUUCUGGGCUACACGCGGCCUACAAUGCAUGCCACAAUGGGAUGCGACUCCGAAAGGAAAAGCAAAUCCCCUAAAAGCAUGCUCAGUUCGAAUCGAAGGUUGUAAUUCAUCUUCGUGAAGCCGGAAUCGCUAGUAGGCGAACGUCAUCA
rnacentral:rRNA from 1 species